AAAAUGGGAAGGCGAUGUAGAAGGUGCAAUGGGCUUGGGCACGACCGUAGGAAUUGUACUACGAGGAACGAACAACCAGAUGAUGAGGUAGUAGGAACUAUGAACAGCAAAUCUCAAAUUUCUUGUAAAAGGGUUCGACGAGGUUAGGCAUUCGCCAAUUGGUGAUGUGCAGAUCAUUUAUUCAUCAAUGUCAGGCCGUUGAAUGAAGCAUGUUUGGAUUUGCCAAACCAGGGGUCCAUUUUUUGUCCUUAUUGUAAAUGCGGAUUCGAAAUUUAUGUGAAACAGUGUCUUGUAUUGAACUCUAGUAAAUCUUAUGCUAUUGCGUCAUGUGUUAUGAAUUAGGGACGUGCAUUGUACAGCGAAAUUUGAAUGUCUUUCAUGUGUUCCAAAGUAAUGAUCAUGGAUAACAUGAAUUCGUAAUGGUUAUUUAGUUUCAGCCUUAGAAUUGUCCGCUUGGACGAUGUCAUUAU